rfam:Salmo salar isolate Sally breed double haploid chromosome ssa01, whole genome shotgun sequence.
UGCAUUCACUACUGUAAGUCGCUCUGGAUAAGAGCGUCUGCUAAAUGACUGCAG